AUGACCUUCCCUUUUUUAGUUCUUAAGGGGGCGGGUACCACAUCCUUUGGGAAGUCAUUUCAUGCUCCUCCUAGCAUAACUCUAAGAGCACCAAAAGCCUGUAUGUGGACCUCUGAUGUCCAUUUCAAAAGGAGCAGAAUAUCAAGUCCAGAACAUCUGAACGGCCAGAGCAAAGAAAGGCCAGACUCAGACGGCAUCAACCUCAAAGGGAAUAGAACAAGCCAAGGAUGUUGCCUGGUCCUCGAAGCUAGCAAAGCAACGAAGACAAGACAUGUAAAACCACAGCAAAGCCCUCCCCCCAAAACCAACACCUGUAUCCCAAAGCCACUUUUACCAACAGCAGUGACAUGCAACCCAAUUAAGAAGAUAAUUUCAAAGUCCUUCUCUUUAAGUCUGAGUAGCUGGAAUAAGGAGGGAGAAGACAAGUCAGUGCUUGAAAGCUUGCCUUUAGGUUUGUUAUCAAGAAUAACAAGUGAUGCCAUAUUUCAAGUGUGUUUAAAAGUCCUGAAUCAUAUAACUAUUCUGCCUUGUGUUGUCCUUGAAAAUGCAAAAAUAGAAAUGGAAGAAAUUAUCAAAGGGCAAUAAAGCAGGGAAACAGAGAUGAGGCAGGGGUGUGGGCUGCAAUUCAUUGUUACAGAUGCUUUAAACACUUCCUGUAUGGCAGUAGUUGACAAGCCUGGUUAAGAACAGAGCAAUAAACAUGCUUUCAAUCUCUCUCCUAAAGAGAGACAUAAUAAUAGGGCAAGAGAAUAAAGAGUGUAACUGUUUAAUAGCCAUCCUUAUUUUCUAAAGAAGGCAGUUUUGGUGACCCUAAUGCUUUUAACAUUCAUUUUUUGUCCCUUUAUUAUAUCAUUAGGCUACAUCAAAAACACAAAAUGUGCUAUUUAAUAGAUCACAUGUAACAAGAGAGGACACAUGGGGUGGGUCAAUGAUCAGGGCUUGCCUGAUUAGCUUUAAUUGAUUCACUUAUCUCCAAGCUUCCCUAGACUAUUUUGUAAAUAAGUAUGAUUCAAUAUCAGGUGUUACAUAAGUAUUCAAUGUAAAUACACAUACACACACAUAAAUGUGUUGAAUAUAUUGUGACCAUUUGUUAUAUCCAGGCACUAAGCCUGCUGACCAGCUAAAUAAGUUCCCUAGGCUCUAAAAGUAUAAAUCCUGAGCCCUCCCAGGCACAUGCAGUGUUUGCUCAAUCCGUAAACACGUAAUUAUUGAACUUGCCUUCUAAAGUAACACCACACCCUGGAUAUGAUGCAAAACCCAGCAUUACAAGAUAAGCUCUGUCUCAAGUUUCUGCUCGUUGUAGUGCCUGAAGUAUUUGCUCAUAUACCCAGGGACCGAAGCAGAAGUAAACAGUCAGGCCAGUAUUAUAGGGACACCUGGGUUUCAAAAUCGACUGUCUUCUAUUGUGAAAGCAAUGAAUGAAGUUCAGNNGAACUCCUGUAAGAACGCCGACUCAUCCCACACCACGUGGGUCACAGGACUUUGACCUUAGCUCAGGCCACCCUAAGAGGCUGAGGGCCAUCCCCUUCCCUAGGGAAUGUGACCCAAGCUCCCAGUCCCCUGCCGCCACACAUCACCUCCUGCCUGUCUCCUGUCUGCACCCUCUUGCACUGGGCGUUAACCAAGACUGCGCUCAGAUCUCCAGCCAGGGCUCUGCACGGUACAUUUAACCUGCCUGGACUCAUGACUCUUUAUACCUUUAAAACUCUACAAAAUCACUUCUUAGGUAUGAUUUUUUUUUUAUAUCCUUCCCUCCCCACCAAGAUAUGAUAUAGCUAGCUGAGCAAUUAAGAGCCAGAACCUGGGAGCCCAACGCCUGGGGUUGAAUCCUGAUCCACCACAGACUAACUGCACCUCAGUCUCCCUACCUGUCCUUCUUAGGUGUAUAAAGUGGCUCAGUCAGAAAGAAUCCACCUGUAACCACAGGAGACUGCCUGCAAUGCAGGAGAUCUGGGUUCGAUCCCUGGGUCGGGAAGAUCCNNNNNNNNNNNNNNNNNNNNNNNNNNCCAGUAUUCUUGCCUGGAGAAUUCCAUGGACAGAGGAGCCUGGCAGGAUAACAGUCCAUGGGGUCUCAAAGAGUCAGACACAACUAAGCAACUAAACAACAACAGUCAAGAUGAAUAGGUAAGCAAAGAGCUUAGAAUAGUGCCUGGUAUGCAGUAAAUGCUGCCACCCAAGCGCAAGCAUAAUAAAUGUGAUCAAAAAUAGUAGCUCCUAUUUACCUUGGUGUUCACGAGACAAUGGGGACUGACAGGGCUGUAUCUGGGCUGGCCCAUCAAGGAAAUGCCUGUAACGGCCAGCAUUGCAUUGCCAGUUGUCCCUGCAAACACUGCAGCUGGCCUGGUGUGACCAGCUGUUCACAACUUCAUGAAGAAGCAAAAUCCAUGUCUGGAUUUUAAGUUAUUGGUUUACAUUUUAAAAAUUCAUGUUUGAGCCAAAGAAAGCACAUUUAAAGGCAGACUUAGCCCUUAAGCCACUAUUUUGUGACCUCUGACAUUUGGGAAUCUAUAAUUGGGGGGGGGGGNNNNNNNNNNNNNNNNNNNNNNNNNNNNNNNNNNNNNNNNNNNNNNNNNNNNNNNNNNNNNNNNNNNNNNNNNNNNNNNNNNNNNNNNNNNNNNNNNNNGGGGGGGGGGGUGUAUGUAUGUGUGCAUAUGUGUGCAUUUUCAUUCUUCUGUGUUUAUCCUCUGUACUUCUUCCACAGUUAAAUAUCUGAGGGGUAGUAGAAAGCAUGCAGAAAGUAUUCAGUUAAGAUCAGCUGACCAAUGAAGGUUUAUUGACGAACAGACACCAGAGGAACUUUGCUGAAAGAAAACAAUGAGUAAGUUAGUGUCACCCACAUUCAAUGCCCUC
rnacentral:lncRNA from 1 species